rnacentral:rRNA from 1 species
UACGUAGGCAGCAAGCGUUGUUCGGAAUUACUGGGCGUAAAGAGUGUGUAGGCGGUGCUCUAAGUUUGGUGUGAAAUCUCCCGGCUCAACUGGGAGGGUGCGCCGAAAACUGGAAUGCUUGAACAUGGGAGAGGAAAGCGGAAUUCCUGGUGUAGCGGUGAAAUGCGUAGAUAUCGCCUGGAACGCCGAAGGUGAAAACAGUCUGCUGGGGGCGUACCGACGCUGAGACACGAAAGCCAGGGGAGCGAACGGG